AGCAACGCCGCGUGAGUGAAGAAGGUUUUCGGAUCGUAAACUCUGUUGUAAGGGAAGAACACGUACGAGAGUAACUGCUCGUACCUUGACGGUACCUUAUUAGAAAGCCACGGCUAACUACGUGCCAGCAGCGCGGUAAUACGUAGGUGGCAAGCGUUGUCCGGAAUUAUUGGGCGUAAAGCGCGCGCAGGCGGUCCUUUAAGUCUGAUGUGAAAGCCCACGGCUCAACCGUGGAGGGUCAUUGGAAACUGGGGGACUUGAGUACAGAAGAGGAAAGCGGAAUUCCAAGUGUAGCGGUGAAAUGCGUAGAGAUUUGGAGGAACACCAGUGGCGAAGGCGGCUUUCUGGUCUGUAACUGACGCUGAGGCGCGAAAGCGUGGGGAGCAAACAGGAUUAGAUACCCUGGUAGUCCACGCCGUAAACGAUGAGUGCUAAGUGUUAGGGGGUUUCCGCCCCUUAGUGCUGCAGCUAACGCAUUAAGCACUCCGCCUGGGGAGUACGGCCGCAAGGCUG
rnacentral:rRNA from 1 species